rnacentral:rRNA from 1 species
GUGGGGAAUAUUGGACAAUGGGCGAAAGCCUGAUCCAGCCAUGCCGCGUGUGUGAAGAAGGUCUUCGGAUUGUAAAGCACUUUAAGUUGGGAGGAAGGGUAGUAACCUAAUACGUUGCUACUUUGACGUUACCGACAGAAUAAGCACCGGCUAACUUCGUGCCAGCAGCCGCGGUAAUACGAAGGGUGCAAGCGUUAAUCGGAAUUACUGGGCGUAAAGCGCGCGUAGGUGGUUCAGUAAGUUGGAAGUGAAAUCCCCGGGCUCAACCUGGGAACUGCGUUCAAAACUGCUGAGCUAGAGUACGGUAGAGGUUGGUGGAAUUUCCUGUGUAGCGGUGAAAUGCGUAGAUAUAGGAAGGAACACCAGUGGCGAAGGCGACCACCUGGACUGAUACUGACACUGAGGUGCGAAAGCGUGGGGAGCAAACAGGAUUAGAAACCCCUGUAGUCC